GAUGAACGCUGGCGGCGUGCUUAACACAUGCAAGUCGAACGGAAAGGCCCUGCUUUUGUGGGGUGCUCGUGUGGCGAACGGGUGAGUAACACGUGAGUAACAUGCCCUUGACUUUGGGAUAACUUCAGGGAACACGGGCGCAUACCGGAUAGGAGCUCCUGCUGCAUGGUGGGGGUUGGAAAGAUUCGGCGGUUGUGGCUGGUCUCGCUGCUUAUCAGCUGCUUGGUGGGGUAGUGGCUGACAAAGGGUUUGACGGAUAGCCGGCCUGAGAGGGUGACCGGCCACAAUGGGACUGAGAUACGGCCCAGACGGCUACGGGACGCAGCAGUGGAGAAUAUUGCACAAUGGGCGGAAGCCUGAUGCAGCAACGCUGCGUGCGGGAUGACGGCCUUCGGGUUAUAAACCGAUUUCGCCGGUGACGAAGCGUGAGUGACGGUAAUGGGUAAAGAAGCACCGGCUAACUACGUG
rnacentral:rRNA from 1 species